UACGUAGGAUGCAAGCGUUGUCCGGAAUUAUUGGGCGUAAAGAGCGCGCAGGCGGUAUGACAAGUCAGAUGUGAAAGAGGCCGGCUUAACCGGCAGGGGUCAUUUGAAACUGUCAGACUAGAGUGCAGCAGAGGAUAGUGGAAUUCCCGGUGUAGUGGUGAAAUGCGUAGAUAUCGGGAGGAACACCAGUGGCGAAGGCGACUAUCUGGGCUGCAACUGACGCUGAGGCGCGAAGGCUAGGGUAGCAAACAGG
rnacentral:rRNA from 1 species